AACGCACAUUGCGCCCUUUGGCAUUCCGAAGGGCAUGCCUGUUCGAGCGUCAUUAUCACCUCUCAAGCCCCCAUUUCUUCAUUGAAACCGGCUUGGUGUUGGACGGUUUGGUGACGGCGAUGUCACCCCUCCCAAAGACAAUGACGGCGGCUUCGUGAGACCCCCGGUACACUGAGUUCCUCACCGAACACGUACUGGACAAAGGGUAGACGAGGCCCCGGUCGACCUCUCUUCACAGGGAGACUACUUUUUUAACAAGGUUGACCUCGGAUCAGGUAGGAAUACCCGCUGAACUUAA
rnacentral:misc_RNA from 1 species